GGUGCUCUUACCUGCGGAGGCUUAUACAGUAACACAGUAGAAGUGUAUACAAAAUGGCGUCGAUUUUAGAUCAACAGACACACGAUGUCUGGUUUCAAAAAUUAAACAAAUUUCAAGAUAAACGAUGUUUUCUUGAGAGUUCUUUACAGAUCUCAUCUUUCAAUUAAUUAUGAUUUUGCUGUGGAACUACGGCAAAAGUUGC
rnacentral:lncRNA from 1 species